rnacentral:lncRNA from 1 species
UUCUGCCUCCCAAAGUGCUGGGAUUACAGGCCUGAGGCACCGCGCCUGGCCUGAAGAAUCUUUUCAAAUGCAACAGGGAGAGGGAUAGUUGUAUCAGAAUGUUUUCAACUAAAACCACCACCUGGAGUGCCAAACUGCAACGGGGACCUAGACAGAUUCAGAUUGUGCCACUGGAGCCCUGGAAUUGGAUUGCUGGAUAGACUCACUGUGUUAAUUUAUUUAAUCUUGGAUCAAGAUAGUUAAGAGGGAGUGCCUUCUAUGCACUCUCCCUCUCACCCUCUCGCCCUCUCAUGCCACAUGGAUGCUGAGGGCUUCCUUGAAACUAUGAGUUGAAGGUGGUAGAGCCAGAGACUGCAAAGAGGCCUGUACUUUGAGGACAACUUGGCGAACAGUCCACGCCUAUGAUAUGAGAAAGAAUUUAAGAAACAUAAUACAUCAGAUCUAUUUCAAAGGUCAACUUAGAAGGGAAAUGUUUCGAUUGAGAGGAAGAUGUUAGCUGAGAAUGAAAGGCUGUUUUAGAUGGCAAGUUCAAAGAAAGGAGACUACUAUGAAAAGAUGGGGCCUCACUCUGUCACCCAGGCUAGAGUGC